UUGCUGCAUAUGCACUAAUAUCCUGCCAAAGGAAAAAUAUUUUGGUGUAGAUAUUUCCAGCAGGCCUAGUCAAACAACAUUGUGCUAAUGUAAGAACUAGGCAGGUAAAGAAGUUGAAGAGUUUUUUUUUUCCUCUUCUGUGUUUUCCUUUUUCUGAUAACUUCAGGAUACAGAAUUGAAGACUGUAGAUUCCUGGGUAAGCCUGUGUAAAACGAUGAAGCUUCCAGCUCCAAUAAAAGCAUCUGCUGAGAGCUUCAAUCAGUUCAGGGAUGCAGUACUAAAGAGGAGUGGGCAAGUGCAGGAGGCAAAAAGGUCUCUUGGGCAUGCUGAGAGGGAGCUGCAAAAUCUUCCGCAAGAAAACAAAAGAUUUGUAGCUACUUCUGUAGGCCCUGAAAGCACAAGAUUGGAUGCCAUGGCAGUGCCAGACUGUGAGCUUGAAAAAGAAAUGCCUAAGAGUAAACUGCCCGAAGCUCAACAAUGUGUUCUUGAUCAAG
rnacentral:lncRNA from 1 species